CCCGCACACUGACUCGGUACCGGUACCCCCUGUAUAUAGGCUCCACACUGACUCGGUACCGGUACCCCCUGUAUAUAGCCUCCACACUGACUAGGUACCGGUACCCCCUGUAUAUAGCCUCCACACUGACUCGGUACCGGUACACCCUGUAUAUAGCCUCCACACUGACUCGGUACCGGUACCCCCUGUAUAUAGCCUCCACACUGACUCGGUACCGGUACCCCCUGUAUAUAGCCUCCACACUGACUCGGUACCGGUACCCCCUGUAUAUAGCCUCCACACUGACUCGGUACCGGUACCCCCUGUAUAUAGCCUCCACACUGACUAGGUACCGGUACCCCUGUAUAUAGCCUCCACACUGACUCGGUACCGGUACCCCUGUAUAUAGCCUCCACACUGACUCGGUACCGGUACCCCUGUAUAUAGCCUCC
ensembl:lncRNA